rnacentral:lncRNA from 1 species
UGAAACACCGCCAAUUGAAGAUCAAAAACGCAUCUGUGUUCGAGAUUUUGCUACAAAGCAAUACACCAUCUCCCGAGGAAUUCACGGAUCACGCCUUCUAAGUUAGAACGGGAAACAGGGAACCACUCAGAAAGUACAAAAGAAAAAGAGCCAAACCGCCAUAAAAAGCCCACACAGACGGUGGCGUGGGUUGAAUUAGAAAGCUGCCACCCAGGAAACCAGGGAAGGGACUGUUUUUAGGAGGUGACUGCUCAGAACCUAUCUGCCUUGAUUGAUAAGAAACCCUUCUUACUUUACAUUAUAAGAGAUCUUUUUGCCGCCCAUUAUUUAGAAUUAAGAAUUACCUCCUUAAGAGGGUCUCUUAUAAAAAC